rnacentral:lncRNA from 1 species
GGUGGAAACUAUGUCAUUUCGUUAAAGUUAAUUACUUCAUCUUUAUUGUUGUUGUUGUUGCAAUGAAAUUGAGCGUAGAUGGUGUUCGUAAGGAUAUGAAGAAUGUGAUGUUUUAUGGUGCUGACAUGGAGGGAUGGGAUGGGCUUGAUCAGUUGUUAAGAAACACAGGUUGUCAUGAAACAAACACCUAUAAUCUGACAACCUUUUGUAUAUAAGGCCUACUGAAUAUAUUUUAACUAAUAUAAAUUGUAUGAAAGCUACAUGAAUAUAUUUUAGUUACAUUCUUAUCUUAUAUUUUUGUUCUAUUGUAACAGUUAAUCCAGGAAGCGAAAGGGUGGAAUGACUUGGAUUUUAGGUUUUACAAGAUCUUCACGAGAUAAAACAAUUCAUUAUUAAUAAUUUCAUGUUUGAAGUCACAAUUUCACUUAGUUAUUAAGUGUGUAUGUACCUGUCAAGGAAUUCAUGUUAUAAGAUUUCUUUUCAAAUAUUCUUUUAGAUGGUCUUGAAAGAAGAUAAUCU